CCCAUUAAGACUNGGGAUAACUCCGGGAAACCGGGGCUAAUACCGGAUAACAUUUUGAACNGCAUGGUUCGAAAUUGAAAGGCGGCUUCGGCUGUCACUUAUGGAUGGACCCGCGUCGCAUUAGCUAGUUGGUGAGGUAACGGCUCACCAAGGCAACGAUGCGUAGCCGACCUGAGAGGGUGAUCGGCCACACUGGGACUGAGACACGGCCCAGACUCCUACGGGAGGCAGCAGUAGGGAAUCUUCCGCAAUGGACGAAAGUCUGACGGAGCAACGCCGCGUGAGUGAUGAAGGCUUUCGGGUCGUAAAACUCUGUUGUUAGGGAAGAACAAGUGCUAGUUGAAUAAGCUGGCACCUUGACGGUACCUAACCAGAAAGCCACGGCUAACUACGUGCCAGCAGCCGCGGUAAUACNUAGGUGGCAAGCGUUAUCCGGAAUUAUUGGGC
rnacentral:rRNA from 1 species